GACGAACGCUGGCGGCGUGCUUAACACAUGCAAGUCGAACGGUGAACCUCUUCGGAGGGGAUCAGUGGCGAACGGGUGAGUAACACGUGGGCAACCUGCCCCCGGCUCUGGGAUAACUCCAAGAAAUUGGGGCUAAUACCGGAUGUUCACCGCUUCCCGCAUGGGUGGUGGUGGAAAGGGUUUCCGGCUGGGGAUGGGCCCGCGGCCUAUCAGCUUGUUGGUGGGGUAGUGGCCUACCAAGGCGACGACGGGUAGCCGGCCUGAGAGGGUGACCGGCCACACUGGGACUGAGACACGGCCCAGACUCCUACGGGAGGCAGCAGUGGGGAAUAUUGCGCAAUGGGCGGAAGCCUGACGCAGCGACGCCGCGUGGGGGAAGACGGCCUUCGGGUUGUAAACCUCUUUCAGCAGGGACGAAGCGCAAGUGACGGUACCUGCAGAAGAAGCACCGGCCAACUACGUG
rnacentral:rRNA from 1 species